ACUCCUACGGGAGGCAGCAGUGGGGAAUAUUGCACAAUGGGGGAAACCCUGAUGCAGCCAUGCCGCGUGUGUGAAGAAGGCCUUCGGGUUGUAAAGCACUUUCAGUUGUGAGGAAAGGUUAGUCGCUAAUAUCGGCUAGCUGUGACGUUAGCAACAGAAGAAGCACCGGCUAACUCCGUGCCAGCAGCCGCGGUAAUACGGAGGGUGCGAGCGUUAAUCGGAAUUACUGGGCGUAAAGCGCGUGUAGGUGGCUUGUUAAGCCAGAUGUGAAAGCCCCGGGCUCAACCUGGGAACUGCAUUUGGAACUGGCAGGCUAGAGUCUUGUAGAGGGGGGUAGAAUUUCAGGGUGUAGCGGUGAAAUGCGUAGAGAUCUGAAGGAAUACCAGUGGCGAAGGCGGCCCCCUGGACAAAGACUGACGCUCAGAUGCGAAAGCGUGGGGAGCAAACAGGAUUAGAUACCCUGGUAGCUA
rnacentral:rRNA from 1 species